rnacentral:rRNA from 1 species
GGGUUGUGAGGUUAAGUGACUAAGCGUACACGGUGGAUGCCCUGGCAGUCAGAGGCGAUGAAGGACGUGCUAAUCUGCGAUAAGCGUCGGUAAGGUGAUAUGAACCGUUAUAACCGGCGAUUUCCGAAUGGGGAAACCCAGUGUGUUUCGACACACUAUCAUUAACUGAAUCCAUAGGUUAAUGAGGCGAACCGGGGGAACUGAAACAUCUAAGUACCCCGAGGAAAAGAAAUCAACCGAGAUUCCCCCAGUAGCGGCGAGCGAACGGGGAGCAGCCCAGAGCCUGAAUCAGUGUGUGUGUUAGUGGAAGCGUCUGGAAAGGCGCGCGAUACAGGGUGACAGCCCCGUACACAAAAAUGCACAUACUGUGAGCUCGAUGAGUAGGGCGGGACACGUGGUAUCCUGUCUGAAUAUGGGGGGACCAUCCUCCAAGGCUAAAUACUCCUGACUGACCGAUAGUGAACCAGUACCGUGAGGGAAAGGCGAAAAGAACCCCGGCGAGGGGAGUGAAAAAGAACCUGAAACCGUGUACGUACAAGCAGUGGGAGCCUCUUUAUGG